GGAGUUGUGGCUCAGUGAAAGCACUCGCCUAGCAUGUGUGAGGCCCUGGGUUUGAUCCUCAGCACCA
rnacentral:tRNA from 1 species